GUAGAAUUCGAAGUGUAGCGGUGAAAUGCGUAGAGAUCUGGAGGCAAUACCGGUGGCGAAGGCGGCCCCCCUGGACAAAGACUGGCGCUCAGGUGCGAAAGGCGUGGGGAGCAAAACAGGAUUAGAUAACCCUGGUAGUCCACGCCGUAAAACGAUAUCGACUUGGAGGCUUGUGCCCUUGAGGCGUGGCUUCCGGAGCUAACGCGUUAAAGUCGACCGCCUGGGGAGUACGGCCGCAAGGUUAAAAACUCAAAUGAAUUGACGGGGACCCGCACAAGCGGUGGAGCAUGUGGUUUAAUUCGAUGCAACGCGAAGAACCUUACCUGGCCUUGACAUCCACGGAAUUCGGCAGAGAUGCCUUAGUGCCUUCGGGAACCGUGAGACAGGUGCUGCAUGGCUGUCGUCAGCUCGUGUUGUGAAAUGUUGGGUUAAGUCCCGCAACGAGCGCAACCCUUAUCCUUUGUUGCCAGCGCGUGAUGGCGGGAACUCAAAGGAGACUGCCGGUGACAAACCGGAGGAAGGUGGGGAUGACGUCAAGUCAUCAUGGCCCUUACGGCCAGGGCUACACACAUGCUACAAUGGCGCAUACAAAGAGAAGCGACCUCGCGAGAGCAAGCGGACCUCAUAAAGUGCGUCGUAGUCCGGAUCGGAGUCUGCAACUCGACUCCGUGAAGUCGGAAUCGCUAGUAAUCGUAGAUCAGAACGCUACGGUGAAUACGUUCCCGGGCCUUGUACACACCGCCCGUCACACCAUGGGAGUGGGUUGCAAAAGAAGUAGGUAGCUUAACCUCCGGGAGGGCGCUUACCACUUUGUGAUUCAUGACUGGGGUGAA
rnacentral:rRNA from 1 species